rnacentral:rRNA from 1 species
GAUGAACGCUGGCGGCGUGCCUAAUACUUGCAAGUCGAGCGAACGGACGAGAAGCUUGCUUCUCUGAUGUUAGCGGCGGACGGGUGAGUAACACGUGGAUAACCUACCUAUAAGACUGGGAUAACUUCGGGAAACCGGAGCUAAUACCGGAUGAUAUUUUGAACCGCAUGGUUCAAAAGUGAAAGACGGUCUUGCUGUCACUUAUAGAUGGAUCCGCGCUGCAUUAGCUAGUUGGUAAGGUAACGGCUUACCAAGGCAACGAUGCAUAGCCGACCUGAGAGGGGGAUCCGCCACACUUGAACUUAGACACGGUCCAGACUCCUACGGGAGGCAGCAGUAGGGAAUCUUCCGCAAUGGGCGAAAGCCUGACGGAGCAACGCCGCGUGAGUGAUGAAGGUCUUCGGAUCGUAAAACUCUGUUAUUAGGGAAGAACAUAUGUGUAAGUAACUGUGCACAUCUUGACGGUACCUAAUCAGAAAGCCACGGCUAACUACGUG